GAGGCCUGUCUAGGAAAUUCUCCUCCAAGCGAAGCCUGGUGAAGGGUUUUUACAGGAUUGCUGGGCUGCUGGCUUCGCAGAGAUCCUUUCAUUUUUAGCCAGUAUUUUUAAACAUGGAGAGAACAAGCGAUGCAUAACAAUCUGUAAGAUGUGGUCCUCAUCAUUAUGGUCUAAAAUGAACUCCAGGCAUCACAUCCAUCUGCCAAGUAGGAUGAUGGAGAAAAGGGAAGAAGAGACAAAGGACACAUUGAAG